rnacentral:rRNA from 1 species
AUUGAACGCUGGCGGCAUGCCUAACACAUGCAAGUCGAACGGCAGCAUGAGGUGUAGCAAUACACCUUGAUGGCGAGUGGCGGACGGGUGAGGAAUGCAUCGGAAUCUGCCCAGUCGUGGGGGAUAACGUAGGGAAACUUACGCUAAUACCGCAUACGACCGUGAGGUGAAAGCGGGGGAUCGAAAGACCUCGCGCGAUUGGAGGAGCCGAUGCCGGAUUAGCUUGUUGGUGGGGUAACGGCCCACCAAGGCGACGAUCCGUAGCUGGUCUGAGAGGAUGAUCAGCAUCACUGGGACUGAGACACGGCCCAGACUCCUACGGGAGGCAGCAGUGGGGAAUAUUGGACAAUGGGCGCAAGCCUGAUCCAGCCAUGCCGCGUGGAUGAUGAAGGCCCUAGGUUGUAAGUCCUUUCGGCGGGAAGAUAAUGACGGUACCCGC